rnacentral:lncRNA from 10 species
AGAUCCUGCCGGCUCUGGACUAGCCGCUCAGCACCAGGGCGGAAGGAAGACGAGGCGAGGCAAGCGCCAAGCUUCCAUCCGGACUUCAAGGCCAGUGGCUGGGUCUGGUUUUCUCAACACGGCCUCCUAGUCUCCUUCCCGCUUGGGCAUCUGUUUUUCUUAUAUAGACCCUGAAGCCGCCCGUGAUGUUCUGUAAGCAGGUUCCGCUUCAGAAUCAGAGGUACUUAAGAGGGAACCUGGAUGCUAGACCUGCCCUUGCUGCUGGCCUCAGUUUCUUUACCUGUAAAACAGGGAUUUUGGAACUGUUAAAUUAAAUCAAACUUAAAAGAAUUACAACUUAAAGCUGCUGGAACUUUACAUGAUCCCGAGCCUUGAGAGGAAUGUGGCUAUGCAGCCUGAGUCAUGUGGCAUGCAGAUGCAACCUCUGCCUUUUUCCGCUGUAAAUAAUUAAGAAGACCAAGUAGCAUCCAAGAUGUUGAUCCUUUAUAUAUCAAACUUGGAGCACAAGUGCGGCAACUCAACCUGCUGACA